CUGUAUGGGUCUUAAAGCCCGCACUGUUCCCCAGCUGAGUGUUAGAGCUUUCCCGCGCUUUUCUCACUUUUUCGAGAAACUUCUCUUCGCGCGAGUUUUUUUUUUUUUUUUGGGGCGCUCGAGCGCACUUCAUAGUUACAACGGACGCACGGCUGCAGUUCGGGGUACGAUUUUCCCAAUUAUUAGCCAGUUAGCUUCUUUAAAAAAUAUAUUAUUAUUUAGCGAUAUAAUAAUAAUAAUAAUAAUAAUAAUAAGAAAAACACAGUGAAAUGUUAGGUGUUUGGACGACAGGAUAUAUGAAGUAGCUAGCGAGGUGAUAGUCGGCUAAUUUGUGUCCUGUCAGUGAAUCCUGUCAGGGCCACUCCUUCGACCUGCUUCCUCAGCCUGCCUCUUGUAGGCCUUCACCUUCAGCUGCAGCUUGUCCACAAGGUCCUGCAGUCUAUUCACGUUCUUCUUAUCCUCCUCAGUCUGUAUACAAAGGUGAGUACUUAUAAGAAAAAGAUGUCAGGAGUUAAAAAGAAGAAGAAACGACUACAGUAGUAGAUACUGUACCUGAUAGUGAAAUACAUACAACAUACCCUAGCCUCCAGUUUCUGGAGCUGCUUCUUUCCACCCUUCAUUGCAAGGUUCUCAGCCUCAUCCAGACGGUGCUGGAGAUCCUUGACUGUAUUCUCAAGGGUCUUCUUCAUCCUCUCCAGCAUUUCUUGCCUCCUGGAUGGUUUCAUCCACCUCACCUUGUAUUUGGACCAGAACUGGCUGCACAAACCUGAGAGUGCAGCAGUGCCACACGCUCACUGGCAUCAACCAGCUCCUGUUCAGCCACUUUGCGGCCUCUUUCUGUCUGCUCCAGUGCAACUCUCAGUUCCUCAAUCUCUGCCAGCAUCA